rnacentral:rRNA from 1 species
GACGAACGCUGGCGGCGUGCUUAACACAUGCAAGUCGAACGGAAAGGCCCUGCUUUUGUGGGGUGCUCGAGUGGCGAACGGAUGAGUAACACGUGAGUAACCUGCCCUUGACUUUGGGAUAACUUCAGGAAACUGGGGCUAAUACCGGAUAGGAGCUCCUGCUGCAGGGUGGGGGUUGGAAAGUUUCGGCGGUUGGGGAUGGACUCGCGGCUUAUCAGCUUGUUGGUGGGGUAGUGGCUUACCAAGGCUUUGACGGGUAGCCGGCCGGAGAGGGUGACGGGCAACAUUGGGACUGAGAUGCGGCCGAGACUCCUACGGGAGGAAGCAGUGGGGAAUAUUGCACAAUGGGCGGAAGCCUGAUGCAGCAACGCCGCGUGGGGGAUGACGGAGUUCGGGUUGUAAACCGCUUUCGCCUGUGACGAAGCGUGAGUGACGGUAAUGGGUAAAGAAGCACCGGCUAACUACGUG